rnacentral:snoRNA from 1 species
CUACAGUGAUGAUCCCUGAACUCUCUCUUACUGAAUCAGCCUUUGAAGAAACCUCUUUACCAGAUUCUGAGUAGC